ACUAAGAUCUUUUAAAUACAAUUGAAGAUUGUUAAACUCUGCAGCUUCUAAAGUGAAAUAAAUAAAACUUCCGUCUCCUCUCAGAGACAAUUGAUGAUGACUAUCGUUAGACAAAAUAAUUGCACGGUAUGAAAUUAAUUUUCAUAAUAGGGUGAUAUAACAAAUGAAAUUUAGAAAACGUCAAUAAGAAAUAAGAAGAAAACGAACUCUUAAUUCUUCCUUCCUUAGAAACUAAAGAAACUAACUUAAAAGAACAUUACUUUACAAGAGCUCCGUGAAUAUACAAUUUGAAAGGACUGAAAUUAACACGAUUAACCUCGAAUAGGAACGACUAUUAUUUCCUGAAGCUCGAACACGCCGAUUUGCGACAAGAGCCUCGGGUCAACUACUUCUAUUGCAGUUAACUCGAGCAAUGACGAGCCACGUUUCACGGCGUAGCCUGCAGCAUUCAUAAUCGAGUCCCGACGCGGCCGGUUUUUGGAGCGCUCGCGUUUGUACGUUUGAGCGCGUUGUUAAUCGACUAUGUGCAAUUAUUUACAAUAUCCUGUAGAUUCAAUAUUAAUCAAAGGGCUAACGACUGUCAUUUCGUAUUCCCGUUAAUCGUAAAUUCACCGAACCCCCGCAACCCUACGUUAUAAUCCGCCGCAAAUUUCACAAUUUCGCGUAGUGAGCGGAUCAUCGUGCUGGUUCGCGACGAUGUAACGCGUCAGUGAUGCACAGGAAAACGCGCUGCUUCUGAGAUCAGGCGUUACAGAGCGAGUGUGGUAUGGUGGUAUAUUGGAGUUUUUAAGAGAACUAUUGGUCGAUGUUGGCAGACGUUGACUGACGUUGAACAGAAAGCUGUACAUUACGUGCAACCAGUACAUCGUAACGUUUAAAAUUGCCACGGGAUUAAACUCAAAGAAAUAGUCGAUAGUAAGUGAAAAAAUUCAUUUCGGUGGAGAAAUCAAGAAGAAAGUACGUAAUAACUUCUAACGUAACAUUUCGAUGAAUCCACCACUUUUCAAAUUAUUUGCGAAUAUAUUUGAUUUUCUAAAAAUACUUUUUCAUCUUACGAAAACUCACAUAGCUACGAUAGUUUCAGAAACUUUCUGAGCUUACUGUACUUGUAGGUGUAUUUACACAAUACUGCCGAGUUUAUUACCAGGUAUAAUUAAUCUCGAUCGUAUAAUUUCAGGCGAAAACAGGUAUCAGCAUUUCUGAUGAGACUACACGCGAUUGAAUUAUCUUUCCUGGUGGUUAAAGUGGAAAUUAGUUUAUCGUGUGUCUGGUGGACGGAAUGCUGAAUGUAAUGAGAUGUUUCGUAAUAACAUGUUAUUAAAGCAGUGAGUGUUGUUAAUGAACAUAGCAAAGUAUGACUGAAGUGAAAAUUUCAACAGUUUUAUUGGGGAAUCAGGAAUAUUUUUAUAAUACCGUCAAUCGCACGCUCUUAGAAAUUCUACGUGCUUUAUCUUACAUCACGAGGAAAAGGAAUUUUCCAGCCACUCUCUUGGAUAGAAUAAUUCUAGUGAUUAUGCUAUUUAAUAACAAUGCCGUUGAGCACUUAAUGUAUUAUUUUUGAUCAUUUAAAAGUAAAAAAAAAUUUCCUAGAAAGCGUAAUUCAAAAUUGACCUUCCAUUGAUAUUUUUGGAUUAUGGAUAAUUAGUAUAGUUUAAGUUAGAAUAUUUUAGAUCAAUUUAAAAAUAUUUACACAAAUUUGUUACUUGUUCUAUAUUUUACAUGAAAUUGGAUAUUAACAGAUUGUAUUAAAGUACGUGGUGGAUAAUAACGUUGAAACUACAUAAAUUAUUCUAAAUCCAACUCGAAUCGUACUGUGUUACCUAUGGCUACCACUAACAACGUUGGGACUGAAAAUUUAAUUGCGAGAGAUUAAUUUAUUUAGCAUUUACAAAUGCGAACAAUCUGCUUUGUGUAAUAAGUUAAACUGUAAGAACAGACGAAUAGAAAGAAAAGAAAAAAAAUAAUGAAGCAAGUAUACUGUAAUAAAAAAAAAAAAGACUCGUAAUUAAAAUGAAGUUCUUCUUUGAAAUCUUCAAAGAACGAGAAAAUUCACAAAGGAAUUAGUCGGAAGUACUUGAUGUGCCUCAUUAAGUAAAAUCGAUUUCUCUUGAAACAUUCUACUCAAGGUAACAAUUAGCAGUGCUUCACUUUAUGCAGGUAAUUAUUAGUUGAGCUAUUUAUUUCGCGAUAAAUAACCUUGAUUUAAGAUCUGUGUUGCAAUCGUUUCAUCUACCAUGUAAUAUAUGGCCAAGCAUUUGUUUUAACUGGGAUCCAGCGAAAUCUACUUUCUGAUGAUAAAGUUAUACGGAGCUACAAUUAGAAGAAACAAUCUUCGUCACGUUAGGUGAACUUUCCUCUGAUUAUUGCGCGUCAGAAUUUUGCAGUUUCUUUAAAGUGAAUUUAAGGUUCGUGGAUUUACGUUCUUGUUCUUAUUACACUACGUGUGUUGCGUUAUACGAAAAAUAGAAGCUGUACGAAAUAAAAUUUUGAAAUACAAUUAAAAAAUUCUUUUUACAAGACAAAAGAAAAGAAACGGAAAAAAUAUUCAAAUAUCCUUCAAUUCCUUUGUAAAAAGAAUGUAAUCUUCGUAAGAAGAUUUUUUAAAUGUACGAUUACACUAAAUUUGUUUGUGAAUGUUUUCCGAUAUUACAGGAAUGAAACCAUUUUGUCAAAUCCAUCGAAAAUGAUUCGAUUCCAGGGAAAUAAGUAAUAUUGAAUGUAGGAAAUACAUGGUGACAAUUUCCAUUAAGCUUAUAUUGCAUGAUCAAUCAAUAAUUUAUUCAUAACGUACUUCCACUAAAUGCAACAUUAUAUUGUCAUCGUCACUCAAUAAUCCACAUGACAAAGACGAUUUGAUUAUCGGUCAUUUAUAAAAUAGAAUCCCAAUCGAAAACACUAUUGCUGCAAAAACAACGAACAAAUGGUUCCACAUACACAAAACCUUCCAUAAAUUUAUACUGAUAAUUGCCGUUCUAUUGACACUGCGUUAUCAAUUAAUAACUAACUCAUAAAAUAUUACACUUCCAACAUCGUGAAAUUUAAUUCUACAUCAAUAUUAUCAGUUAAUGGCGCACGUAACAGUAAAAUCAUUUACAGAAUCAAUUAUUAUUAUAGAAAAUGCAAAUUUUAAUCGAAGAUAUUAUUGAAACCAACCUGACAGCCACGAUUAUAAAUUUUAAUUGAAGAUUGUAUCUCAAACACAUAGAAUAUCGAAUGAUCUUGAAAACGAAAAUCUAAGGGAGAUAAUUAACUGAAUUCCUAGACACUUAUACGUAUAAUAAACUACCAUAAACAUAGAAAUCCAAUUAAAAAUACUAUUAUUGAAAACACAAGAAGCAAAAGGUUUUUACCAGAGAAUCCUCGAUAAAUCCACUAUCAUUUGAUUGAAAUUUUCAAACACGAUAUCGCCAUUCCGGCAAUAAUAUGAUUAUUUAUUUUCGCAUACUAGAUGAAAAUGAAACCCGCUGAUCGAUGAAUUUACGAUAAUUUUAUAUCUUUUUCUACCAAGUUACCUGUCUACUUUAAUUUCGUCAAACUUCGACGAUAACAGCCUGUAUUUUUUUAAACUUAACUCAAUAAAUAAGCCAAUAUAUCGUCGCUGUCAUUCAGAAAGCCACAAUGACACAAUCCAAAGAUUUCUAGCGAUUUGUUACUGUACAUUUAUAAAAAUAAAACAAUCAGCGAAGGAGACGAUUACCGGUAUGUACAAUAAUUGCACUUUGAACGUAAUUUGUUAUCUGUUAAGUUCGUUAGUAUAAUUAGUACGCAUUUGACUGAUGCCAGCCUGGAGCAGACACAUAACCCUCUUGCCUAAUCAGAGUUUCAUGUAUAGUAAUCGCAUAGUAAGUUGCUUCUGCGACGGUAAAUCGUGAGAAAGGUGGAGUUGCUAAACUUUCCAUAGAGAAGGUCAACCACGACCAGCCUAAUAUGUCACGGUUAUGAAUUCUAAAGAAAUACCUGCGAAUUACACGCGAGUGUCUCUCCGUAAAAGAUCAGCGAACACGGAGACAACUGUUGACGUUGGUAUUUAGAAAGUGCAAAUAUGUAAUUCCAACAAGGAUGGAUAAUUAUUUUGAUGAAAGUUUGGACCAUUGGCUGGAUAUAACAGGAAAUAGUUUUUGCCUUUUACGAUUCAUACUCUUGGCUUGGUUUAUUCCAAAUGCGUAAUCUCCUUUUCCGUUGGAGUAGUCUUUUAGAGUGAUUUAAGAGAUGAUACUUAAUGAGGAGAUUCAUAAUGAAGAGAAUCUUCAUAUCGAGAGAUAUGUAAAUACUUUACGUAUUUGUUAAAUAUUGAUAAGAAGAUUUGUAUGUUGAAAAUUGUUUCUGAUUAUUCUUCUAUGAACUUAAUGACAACCUGUAUUAAUCUGUAUGGCACAUACUUAGUGUUUCAUAAUAUAUAUCAGUAUUUUUUCAUUGCACUCUUAUGACUGAUAUUAAAGAUCGAAGAUACGAAUGAUCUCCUUACAUAGCCUUGUUCAAUAUUGUAUAUAUUCCAAUAUUGUAUAAUUCGCUGAUUAAUAUUAUGCGUUGCUUGGAAGCCUAGUUCAAUAAACUAUCACAAUUUCUAAUAAGGAUUAAAUGCUUCUCGUUCUGAAGCUUCCAGAUCUUGGAAAGAUCAUUUCAUCUCGCCGAUAAAAGAACAAGAGAUUCUAAGCAAAGGAAGACAGAGAAUACAAUGUUCAAAGUCUUCCUAUUUAAAUCCACUAUCGAUCAUCCAAUAUAAAAUCACGUCUAUUAAUAGCAACAGCAGCUGGAAACUAACGAAUUCGCGUUAACCGAAGAUUUCAGGUUCUUCCAGAAACACUAUUCAUGGACGUUACAAUGGAAUCACGCUUUUUAAAUAACAGAGAAGCGGUGUAAAAGAAGACUCGCAUUAACCAAUCAGUGGAACUUUUCAGUCAUCAAACGUUGAGACGCUACGAUUUCGGUAGAUGGAACGUGCGGUUAGCAAGCAGGCGUCGAGAAAACUUCUGAAACUGCCUCGAGACAUAACACGUGCAAAACGAGGCAGAAAAUGAUGUCUGGCCACAAGCUUCGUAAUUCGAGGAUACGAGCCGGUAGAUAGCCGGUGAAUUAUGUAGCAAAGAGAUAAUCGUAGGAGGAGUUCGCUUCGAAAAGUUAAUUGAUACGAGUAGCUGGAUCGUGACGAAUGAAAUUGCUCUGCGUCAGCUCUGUCCCAGUGGAUGGUUGCUGUUAAGACCAUCACGCGCCCUUAAUCGUCAUCUUAAUCUUUGCAGCAUCGGAGUAUCUCAGCAAAUUCUGCUUGAAUUAUCACGAAUUCCUAUCGUGACAUCCUAUCGUACAAUGAAUUCUGGUUUGGUGACUUUACUCUAAAUUAGAAUGUAGAAUGUACAGACUGUAGAAUAUUUUCUUAGGUUAGUGUAUUACGAAUGGAGUGCAAUAAAUGAUAA